AUUCCUUCAUGGUUGAAGGCAGAGACUCCCCAGAGGAUUUUGUGAUUCAGGCGAAGGCAGAGUGUUACUUCACCAACGGUACAGAAAAGGUCCGCUUCCUGGUCAGGUUCAUCUUCAACCUGGAGGAGUACUUACAUUUCGACAGUGACCUGGGGUUUUUCGUGGCACUGACGGAGCUGGGGGAGGUGGACGCUGAUCAGUGGAACAAACGCCUGGAUCUCCUGGAAACAAGUAGAGCUGCUGUGAACAUGGUCUGCAGGCAAGAGUACAAGCUGGGGGCCCCCUUCACCGUGGAGAGAAAUGUGCCUCCGGAGGUGACGGUGUACCCAGAGAGGACCCCAUUGCUGCAGCAGCACAACCUGUUGCUCUGCUCUGUGACAGACUUCUACCCUGGGGACAUAAGUGUCAGGUGGUUCCGGAAUGGGCAGGAGGAGAGGUCCGGGGUCAUGUCCACUGGCCUUGUUAGGAAUGGAGACUGGACCUUCCAGACGACGGUAAUGCUGGAAAUGAUCCCAGAGCUUGGAGACGUCUACAGUUGCCUUGUGGAGCACCCCGGCCUCCUGAGACCUGUUUCUGUGGCAUGGGUGGCUCAGUCUGAAUAUUCCUGGGAAAAGAUACUGAGUGGAGCUGCAGCAUUCCUGCUUGGGCUGACUGUCUUUCUGGUGGGAGCUGUCAUCCACCUCAAGGCUCAGAAAG
rnacentral:lncRNA from 1 species